rnacentral:tRNA from 1 species
GCGGGUGUAGUUCAAUGGCAGAACGGCAGCUUCCCAAGCUGCAUACGAGGGUUCGAUUCCCUUCACCCGCUCCG